UACGGAGGGUGCAAACGUUGCUCGGAAUCACUGGGCGUAAAGGGCGCGUAGGCGGCGUUUUAAGUCGGGGGUGAAAGCCUGUGGCUCAACCACAGAAUGGCCUUCGAUACUGGGACGCUUGAGUAUGGUAGAGGUUGGUGGAACUGCGAGUGUAGAGGUGAAAUUCGUAGAUAUUCGCAAGAACACCAGUGGCGAAGGCGGCUCACUGGCCCGGUACUGACGCUGAGGUGCGAAAGCGUGGGGAGCAAACAGGG
rnacentral:rRNA from 1 species